GAGUACGUGAAAAGCGCUAUAUAAAUUGAAUCUAUUAUUAUUAUUAACAGAUAUUCUAGUGAUUUUCAUCUAACAUGGUGUAUUUGGAUCAACUUUAUUUUACCAUUAGUAGAUUGUCUGUCUAUGAUGCGUUGAGUGGGCGUAGGCCUGUGGUACCUACGUGUGCGUGGGUCCAGUACCUAUUGGACAGGCGUCUAUGACGUCGGGGCCUUAGGUGUGAAUGUCUACCGAGGGACUGCUAUCAGGCAUAAAUAUACGGGGCCCCGUGAUACGGGAGCGUACGACCUCCGACCCUGACGUUAGACACGCUAUUCUAAGUUAGUAAACGCGUCGUAGCAGUUGGAAGAAAAAAAAAAAAACAGCGAUCCGUCCUGCACAACUAUGCCGACUGACUGUAAGUAUUCAUAUGAGUGUAUCAUGAUUAUAUUAUGACUAUGUCUAUGUGAAUCAGCUGUUUAUAUCUGACCGUAGCUGCGAUUACUUCACAGCGAAUUGCGGUGCCGGAGGCGAGAGCGUGAAACAGCAGCAGGGUCCACGUGGAAAUUUGCCUGAUAUUCGGCUCAACAUUCAAAGACCGAUUCUAGCAGACCAGACUAAUGUGCUGACAAGCGGUAGUUUUGUACCUAUCGAGGCCAAUGUCAUUCAGCGAACCCCCGGACCAAAUCGACUGUCCAAGAAGAAUUUGAAAAGAUCGGCGGGCUGUUCUAUGGCCAGUGGUGAACAGGGUAUAGCCACCACUACCCCCGCCGAUCUUUUCAAAUUCUUCUUGGACAGUCGAUUUGGUCCGGGGGUUCGCUGAAUGACAUUGGCCUCGAU
ensembl:lncRNA